UACGUAGGGGGCAAGCGUUGUCCGGAAUCAUUGGGCGUAAAGAGCGUGUAGGCGGCCAGAAAAGUCCGCUGUGAAAACUCGAGGCUCAACUUCGAGCUGUCGGUGGAAACUUUCUGGCUAGAGUCCGGAAGAGGAGAAUGGAAUUCCUGGUGUAGCGGUGAAAUGCGCAGAUAUCAGGAGGAACACCGAUGGCGAAGGCAGGUCACUGGGCCGCAACUGACGCUGAGGAGCGAAAGCAUGGGGAGCGAACAGG
rnacentral:rRNA from 1 species